rnacentral:rRNA from 1 species
UACAGAGGCCUCAAGCGUUAGGCGGAAUCACUGGGCUUAAAGCGUGUGUAGGCGGACUUCUAAGUACCUUGUGAAAUCCCACGGCUUAACUGUGGAACUGCUUGGUAUACUGGUUGUCUUGAGCCACUCAGGGGCGAGCGGAACAAAUGGUGGAGCGGUGAAAUGCGUAGAUAUCAUUUGGAACGCCAAUGGUGAAAACAGCUCGCUGGGGGUGUGCUGACGCUGAGACACGAAAGCCAGGGGAGCGAACAGG